rnacentral:tRNA from 1 species
GGGCCCGUAGCCUAGCAAGGAUAAGGCGGCUGGCUUCGGACCAGCAGAUCAGGGGUUCAAGUCCCCUCGGGCCCA